UACGUAGGGUGCGAGCGUUAAUCGGAAUUACUGGGCGUAAAGCGUGCGCAGGCGGUUCGUUGUGUCGGUGGUGAAAUCCCCGGGCUUAACCUGGGAAUGGCCAUGGAAACUGGCGAACUGGAGUGUGGCAGAGGGGGGUGGAAUUCCGCGUGUAGCAGUGAAAUGCGUAGAGAUGCGGAGGAACACCGAUGGCGAAGGCAGCCCCCUGGGCUAGCACUGACGCUCAGGCACGAAAGCUAGGGGAGCGAACGGG
rnacentral:rRNA from 1 species